rnacentral:snRNA from 2 species
GUGCACGCUUCGGUAGCACAUAUACUAAAAUUGGAAAGAUACAGAGAAGAUUAGCAUGGCCCCUGCACAAAGAUGACAUGCAAAUUUGUGUUCCGUUCCAUAUUCGC